AAAGACUUUGGGAAAACUGACCUCGUACCUUGUCUAUACAGUCCUUAUACAGAGUUUGUUACAUAUGUCAAGAUCUUGCUAUAUUUCCCAGGCUGGUUUCAAACUCCUGGUCUCAAGCAAUC
rnacentral:lncRNA from 1 species